UAGGGAAUCUUCCACAAUGGACGCAAGUCGGAUGGAGCAACGCCGCGUGAGUGAAGAAGGUUUUCGGAUCGUAAAGCUCUGUUGUUGGUGAAGAAGGAUAGAGGUAGUAACUGGCCUUAUUUGACGGUAAUCAACCAGAAAGUCACGGCUAACUACGUGCCAGCAGCCGCGGUAAUACGUAGGUGGCAAGCGUUGUCCGGAUUUAUUGGGCGUAAAGCGAGCGCAGGCGGAAGAAUAAGUCUGAUGUGAAAGCCCUCGGCUUAACCGAGGAACUGCAUCGGAAACUGUUUUUCUUGAGUGCAGAAGAGGAGAGUGGAAGUCCAUGUGUAGCGGUGGAAUGCGUAGAUAUAUGGAAGAACACCAGUGGCGAAGGCGACUCUCUGGUCUGCAACUGACGCUGAGGCUCGAAAGCAUGGGUAGCGAACAGG
rnacentral:rRNA from 1 species